rnacentral:tRNA from 1 species
GGGCCGAUAGCUUAGCCUGGUUGGAGCGCCCGACUGAUAAUCGGGAGGUCGUGAGUUCAAAUCUCAUUCGGCCCACCA